AGUUCUCACCUUCCGAGGAAAAUCUGGGAUGCGUGAGUCCCCCCGAGUGCAGCAGGGCAUCGAAUGCCGUUGACGGAGCUAAAAUCAGGCUCACGGAUUCAUACACCCAGUACGAGGAUCGUCUUCUUUCUACUUAGUCUUGAUGACUGACUAAAUGUCGGACCAUGUUUAGCAUAUCUGAAUGGGUUUUUGGCCUCAUGAAUUCUCUCAUGAUCACCAAUAUUGCAGGACUGCUGAGGACCAUUCUCACACUGACUGGAUUCAUCAGGAUUUUCUCCCAAAUGGAUACUCUCAUGUGUAAUAAGGAACCUGGUUCCACCCUGACAGCAUGAUCAACAGGGCUGGCAGCACAGACACAAUUCCUCUGGAAAUCGGCCAUUAUCCAGCAUCUCCCUACAAAACCUUGGCCCCUUCCUCUGGGUGGGCUGCAGUCUUCAUCGCCCCGACCUGCUGAGGCCUCCUUGGCUGGCAAAGCAAUGAAGCUCCAGCUGCCCAUGAUCCCCACCUCUGUCUGCACAUUCUGUUCUGGGGCUUGUUAGGUCCCCCCAAAAAUGGGUCCAUGAUUAACGGAGCAAGACUGAAAUAAAGCGAAGGUCAAGCAAAGCUUUAUUCCAUGCCAAGCAUCAAGAAUCCGACCGAACGUUCGGGGACGCACCUCUUAGAGGAGAGGGCAACCUUUCUCUGUUGCACAGACUGGCUUUUAAGGGCAAAGGCCAUGCGGUU